UGGUUAUAUUCUGUACCGACUAUGGAGCGUGGAGGGGGGACGCGUAGGGUUAAGCGAGCUAGCUGAUGGAAGCGCUAGUCUAAGGGCGUAGAUUGGAGGGAAGGCAAAUCCACCUCUGUAUUUGAAACCCAAACAGGCUCUUUGAGUCCUUUUAGGACAAAGGGAGAAUCGCUGAUACCGUCGUGCCAAGAAAAGCCUCUAAGCAUAUCCAUAGUCGUCCGUACCGCAAACCGACACGGGUAGAUGAGAUGAGUAUUCUAAGGCGCGUGAAAGAACUCUGGUUAAGGAACUCUGCAAACUAGCACCGUAAGUUCGCGAUAAGGUGUGCCGCAACAAUGCGGUCUCAGCAAAGAGUCCCUCCCGACUGUUUACCAAAAACACAGCACUUUGCCAACUCGUAAGAGGAAGUAUAAGGUGUGACGCCUGCCCGGUGCUCGAAGGUUCAGAGGAUGCGUCAGUCGCGAGAUGAAACGUUGAAUUGAAGCCCGAGUAAACGGCGGCCGUAACUAUAACGGUCCUAAGGGAGCGAAAUUCCUUGUCGGUUAAAUACCGACCUGCAUGAAUGGCGUAACGAGAUGGGAGCUGUCUCAACCAGAGAUUCAGUGAAAUUGUAGUGGAAGUGAAAAUUCCUCCUACCCGCGGCAAGACGGAAAGACCCCGUGGACCUUU
rnacentral:rRNA from 1 species